rnacentral:rRNA from 1 species
GCCCGCGACGUCGCGAGAAGUCCACUGANCCUUAUCAUUUARAGGAAGGAGAAGUCGUAACAAGGUUUCCGUAGGUGANCCUGCGGAAGGAUCAUUG